ensembl:miRNA
CUUGAGCCUGGGAGAUGGAGGUUGCAGUGAGCUGAGAUCAUGCCACUGUACUCCAGCCUGGGCAACAGAGCAAGACCUUGUCUC